rnacentral:rRNA from 1 species
UACGAAGGGGGCUAGCGUUGCUCGGAAUCACUGGGCGUAAAGGGUGCGUAGGCGGGUUUUUAAGUCAAGGGUGAAAUCCUGGAGCUCAACUCCAGAACUGCCUUUGAUACUGAAGAUCUUGAGUCCGGAAGAGGCGAGUGGAACUCCUGGUGUAGCGGUGGAAUGCGCAGAUAUCAGGAAGAACACCAACGGCGAAGGCAGCUCGCUAGGACGGUACUGACGCUGAGACGCGAAAGCGUGGGGAGCGAACAGG